rnacentral:rRNA from 1 species
UGGGGAAUAUUGCACAAUGGGCGCAAGCCUGAUGCAGCCAUGCCGCGUGUAUGAAGAAGGCCUUCGGGUUGUAAAGUACUUUCAGCGGGGAGGAAGGUGUUGUGGUUAAUAACCUCAGCAAUUGACGUUACCCGCAGAAGAAGCACCGGCUAACUCCGUGCCAGCAGCCGCGGUAAUACGGAGGGUGCAAGCGUUAAUCGGAAUUACUGGGCGUAAAGCGCACCCAGGCGGUCUGUCAAGUCGGAUGUGAAAUCCCCGGGCUCAACCUGGGAACUGCAUCCGAAACUGGCAGGCUUGAGUCUUGUAGAGGGGGGUAGAAUUCCAGGUGUAGCGGUGAAAUGCGUAGAGAUCUGGAGGAAUACCGGUGGCGAAGGCGGCCCCCUGGACAAAGACUGACGCUCAGGUGCGAAAGCGUGGGGAGCAAACA